AUUCUCCAUAUCCAUUCUCAUUUUUCUCUCCUCAUCUCUCUCUGAUCUUUCUUCUCUCUUUCACUACAAAAUAAAAACCUAAUUUUUUUCCUUCUUAACCUGGCUCGCUCAUUCCUCUCUUCCCCCUCUGACAGGAACGCUUCCCAUUUCUCAAAUCCAUGUCUAUCUCUUUUCCAGUACUACUUGUUGUCUUCAAAUGCAAUAUUUUUUCUUCUCUCUCUCUCUCUCUCUCUCUCUCUCUCUCUCUCCUUUUUGGGUCAAUGUUCUCUCUCAAUCUCCCCAGUUACUCACUCGACAGCUCAUCACCGCCUUCUUCAUGGUCGACCAAGUCAAAAGAACCUAGGGUAAGUUUUUUGGUUUUUUUUUUUUUUUGUUGGGUGUCAUGUACAGCCGUAUGGUUUCGUUUAAUUUUGUUGGGGUUAUUUUCUUUAAAAAAUUGAUCUAUAUGGUUAUAUGCGUAUACGAUUUUUAUUCUGCGAGGGUUUUUUUCCCCUUUUCGUUUGUAUGAUAUGAUCUAUGUGAUCAUAGUGUAAGAAAUCAAUUUGUUCAUUGUGUCGUUUUUUUUUUUUUCUCCAUUUUGUAUGAUUUGGUUUUGUUGAUUUGGUUCUGUUAGGGUAUUUUCUGUCUGACUCACCAAGCCAAAAAAAUAAAACUGCUUGAUUUACGCAAGGAACAGCCACAACAGUAUACGAAAGGUUGGUCUGUUGAUGGAGGAAGGGCAACUCGUACAACCCAUGGAUUCAGGCGCAGCAACAGAAUCUGGUACUCUUCGGAAUCACGCAAGAAACCAGCAUCUGAAAGGGGACUCUAUCUCUUCUGCAUUUUGGGUGCAUCGUGGUUGGGCGUUGGGCUUUCCAUAGAGGUGCUAUAGAGGUGGUAGAAUCAAUAUUGAGGUGAGAGGAAGGAAAGGCACUUACCGAGAGCGUAGGAACUGAGGUAGACGAGGUAGUUUGACAGAGUAGAGGAUGAAAUUUAUAAGGUAGAAAUAUGAAUGAGACAAAAUUCGAAGUGGUGGAAGGGAUUGAUCUGCAAGCAAAUGAGUGAAGCGGUGAUUUAAAGGUAGAUUGAUGCUCUAGAAAUUGAAGAAGGCGGUGGAAAGAUGCGAGUAGUUCAUAAAUGGAAAAAGACAAUAUAAGGCACUAGUCCAUGGAGAAAGCAGAAACAAAAAUGAUAUCUUAGCAGAAGAGAUUGAAACAUGGAGGUGGAAGUACAUCAUUGAAAAAGUGAGUCAAGCAGUAAAUGGAAUAGGAUAUAGACAAAAUAAGAAGGUUGUGGAAGUGAGAGGAAAGUGGUAUUCCAGAAAUUGAAGUCGGUGGAAUGGAGGUAUUCCGGAAAGUGUAAAUAGACAAUUAAAUCAGUAAUAAGAAUGGCAGCAGGGUAAAUAGGGAAAAUAAAUAGAAAGUAGAAUUAGAAUUGUCCGAACAUACUUGAGAGACACAGGAAAGAAAUAUAAAAAGUGAGGGCAAAAUUGGUAGGAAAGAGUUAUACAACGCCUGCCUGCUUAUUGCCGCUUAUUAAUAUAAAAAUAUUGUAUGAAUUUUCGACCCAAAGUAUUGUUGAGGAGAGAAAAUAAAAAAGAAAGAAUGAAUUUUAGGUGAUCCAACGACGUAUUAGUAUCACGUGAACAAGAAAUUUAAAUACUUACAAGGACUCUAUAAGAUAUCCUCAAAUCUUAAAGAAAAAUAAUAGGGAUACCGCACCAAGUUUUUUUUUUUUUUUUUUUAAAUUUUUU